rnacentral:rRNA from 1 species
CUCGUAGGCGGCCAACUAAGUCAGACGUGAAAUCCCUCGGCUUAACCGGGGAACUGCGUCUGAUACUGGAUGGCUUGAGGUUGGGAGAGGGAUGCGGAAUUCCAGGUGUAGCGGUGAAAUGCGUAGAUAUCUGGAGGAACACCGGUGGCGAAGGCGGCAUCCUGGACCAAUUCUGACGCUGAGGAGCGAAAGCCAGGGGGCAAACG